rnacentral:rRNA from 1 species
CACGAACGCUGGCGGCAGGCUUAACACAUGCAAGUCGAGCGCCCCGCAAGGGGAGCGGCAGACGGGUGAGUAACGCGUGGGAAUCUACCCAUCUCUACGGAAUAACGCAUGGAAACGCGUGCUAAUACCGUACACGUCCUUCGGGAGAAAGAUUUAUCGGAGAUGGAUGAGCCCGCGUUGGAUUAGCUAGUUGGUGGGGUAAAGGCCUACCAAGGCGACGAUCCAUAGCUGGUCUGAGAGGAUGAUCAGCCACACUGGGACUGAGACACGGCCCAGACUCCUACGGGAGGCAGCAGUGGGGAAUAUUGGACAAUGGGCGCAAGCCUGAUCCAGCCAUGCCGCGUGAGUGAUGAAGGCCCUAGGGUUGUAAAGCUCUUUCACCGGUGAAGAUAAUGACGGUAACCGGAGAAGAAGCCCCGGCUAACUUCGUGCCAGCCGCCGCCGUAACAC